rnacentral:rRNA from 1 species
UGGGGAAUCUUCCGCAAUGGGCGCAAGCCUGACGGAGCAACGCCGCGUGAGUGUAGAAGGUCUUCGGAUCGUAAAGCUCUGUUGAUGGGGACGAACGUGCCUAAUGCGAAUAGUAUUAGGUAAUGACGGUACCCAUCGAGGAAGCCACGGCUAACUACGUGCCAGCAGCCGCGGUAAUACGUAGGUGGCGAGCGUUGUCCGGAAUCAUUGGGCGUGAAGGGAGCGCAGGCGGGCAUGUAAGUCUUUCUUAAAAGUGCGGGGCUCAAACCCGUGAUGGAAAAGAAACUAUGUGUCGUGAGUACAGGAGAGGAAAGCGGAAUUCCCAGAGUAGCGGUGAAAUGCGUAGAUAUUGGGAGGAACACCAGUGGCGAAGGCGGCUUUCUGGACUGCAACUGACGCUGAGGCUCGAAAGCCAGGGGAGCGAACGGG